rnacentral:rRNA from 1 species
GUGCCAGCAGCCGCGGUAAUACAGAGGUCCCAAGCGUUGUUCGGAUUCACUGGGCGUAAAGGGUGCGUAGGCGGUCGGGUAAGUCUGACGUGAAAUCUUCAAGCUCAACUUGGAAACUGCGUCGGAUACUAUUCGGCUAGAGGAAUGGAGGGGAGACUGGAAUACUUGGUGUAGCAGUGAAAUGCGUAGAUAUCAAGUGGAACACCAGUGGCGAAGGCGAGUCUCUGGACAUUUCCUGACGCUGAGGCACGAAAGCCAGGGGAGCAAACGGGAUUAGAUACCCCCGUAGUCC